UACGAUACGGGACUCAUCCGAGGCCCCGUAAUCGGAAUGAGUACACUUUAAAUCCUUUAACGAGUAUCCAUUGGAGGGCAAGUCUGGUGCCAGCAGCCGCGGUAAUUCCAGCUCCAAUAGCGUAUAUUAAAGUUGUUGCGGUUAAAAAGCUCGUAGUUGAAUCUGUGUGCCACGCUGUCGGUUCAUCGCUCGCGAUGUUUAACUGACAUGAUUGUGGGACGUCCUACCGGUGGACUUAGCCUUUAUCUCUUCGGAGUUAGAGGCGGUCCAGCUAAUAUCCCAUCGCGGUGCUUUUCAUCGAGUGUCGAGGUGGGCCGGUACGUUUACUUUGAACAAAUUAGAGUGCUCAAAGCAGGCCAUUUUCGCCUGAAUACUGUGUGCAUGGAAUAAUGGAAUAGGACCUCGGUUCUAUUUUGUUGGUUUUCGGAACCCCGAGGUAAUGAUUAAUAGGGACAGAUGGGGGCAUUCGUAUUGCGACGUUAGAGGUGAAAUUCUUGGAUCGUCGCAAGACGGACAGAAGCGAAAGCAUUUGCCAAAAAUGUUUUCAUUAAUCAAGAACGAAAGUUAGAGGUUCGAAGGCGAUCAGAUACCGCCCUAGUUCUAACCAUAAACGAUGCCAGCUAGCGAUCCGCCGAAGUUCCUUUGAUGACUCGGCGGGCAGCUUCCGGGAAACCAAAGCUUUUGGGUUCCGGGGGAAGUAUGGUUGCAAAGCUGAAACUUAAGGAAUUGACGGAAGGCACCACCAGGAGUGGAGCCUGCGGCUUAUUUGACUCAACAC
rnacentral:rRNA from 1 species